AGAGGCUUAGGAUAACAAGACCAAGGACCUUCAAAGCCCUAAGCAGGAGUGAAAAUCUCCUAGCCCCUG
rnacentral:tRNA from 2 species